GGUCCCAUCCCGAACCCGGAAGUUAAGCCCUUCAGCGCCGAUGGUACUGCACGGGAGACUGUGUGGGAGAGUAGGACACCGCCGGAC
rnacentral:rRNA from 1 species